UACGAAGGGGGCUAGCGUUGUUCGGAUUUACUGGGCGUAAAGCGCACGUAGGCGGCUCUUUAAGUCAGAGGUGAAAUCCCAAGGCUCAACCUUGGAACUGCCUUUGAUACUGGGGAUCUCGAGUCCGGAAGAGGUGAGUGGAACUGCGAGUGUAGAGGUGAAAUUCGUAGAUAUUCGCAAGAACACCAGUGGCGAAGGCGGCUCACUGGUCCGGUACUGACGCUGAGGUGCGAAAGCGUGGGGAGCAAACAGG
rnacentral:rRNA from 1 species